rnacentral:misc_RNA from 1 species
GGAAGUAAAAGCCGUAACAAGGUUUCCGUAGGUGAACCUGCGGAGGAUCAUUAUUGUAUAGCCGAGGUGCGAGGGCUGUCGCUGACCCGAAAGGUCGUGCACGCCCGAGUGCCCUCACACACAUCCAUCUCACCCCUAUGUGCACCACCGCGUGGGUCCCCCUUUGGCUUGUUCGGAGGGGGGCUUACGUUUUCACACAAACUUUGUAUGCAGUGUAGAAUGUAUUUUUUGUUUUUGCGAUCACGCAAUCAAUACAACUUUCAACAACGGAUCUCUUGGCUCUC